GCUGCCUCGGACACAUCAACUGACCACCGGUGAUAGUCAGUCAAUAGACAACUGAAUCUAAGUUUCAUACGACUCUCUUCUUAUACAGAGUUUUGGGCGUUACAUCUUUAGAUGGACCUGAACUGGUGAUAUUUUUACUUCUAACAGUCCUCUCAUCUUCCUUUUCUUAAGUACACCUAGGUCGUUGUGACCCAGACAAUAACUACUAACAUACAUGCUAGUCAACAGAUGGUUUACUUCAAAUGA